UCUACUUGUGCUCAGACGCACAUUAAACCAGAGGUAUUUUUUCGGAUCUACACAUUCAAGGUAUGUAAAUCCGCUCAUAGCAAAUAAUGGAGAGCUGUCAGUGCCUAGAUCAGAUAUAAAUCUCAUCUAUACACUUUCACACAGUCCACUACUUUGCAGAUCGGCCUUACAACCCGAUCUACUGAUAGUCAACAGUGUCAAUUAUUGUUAUUUCAUCGGUUCUAUUCAUCCCUUUCCUUGUUAAACAUGUUAAUGGAACUGUAAAUUACUUGAAUCCGACAACUGAAUACCUACUAAAACCUACCCAACUAGCUGAUGGGUCUGUUGCUUAUGAAGUUUCAAGUACCUCCUCCCGCAAGCCAAGGCCGGCCAAGAAAGAAAAAACAACAGCAAAUAAUUACGGACCUAAUUCAUCAAGUGGUUCUGCCAAUGUCGCGACGCCAAGCGUCGUCCGCUCCUCCCUCCAGCCACCUUUAAUACAUGAUCUAGAACUCAUACAUAAAUGGAGAGAAGAGCGGAAAAGAAAACUGAUGGCCAGAUUGUAUAGGAACAACCCUCGAGGACCUACUAUGUCAUCCCCUUUUUAUCAGCCAUACUAGGAAUAAAGCCUUCUGGAAACGCAUCUGCCAAAGCAAGUGAACAAAAAUCAUACCGUCAAUCAGCAAAGAUUGACAAUGUGAGAAAGUCGUUUGCUCCGCUUGCCCUGUUGAAAGACAGAAAGGGCGGACGCGUAGAGAAGAGGCACACGUUGAAUCCUGGUACGUUGAACACCCACAUCAAUACCCAGGCGCUGCAUAAAAUAGGAAAGUCUGUGCAGAAACAGAAUAAUUGCCCCCAAAAGAACAAAGAGAAAACAACGGCCAAAGAUAGUAGAUUGUUUAUAAUGAAGAAAUACGAUGAGGAUCGUAAGAAAACUAUGAGAAAUACACUGGCCGCUAUCGAAAACACCAAAUUCACUCUUCAGUGUGAAAAAGACAAAGCUGAUGGACGAAAUACGAAAGACGACAUCAAAAGUGAACAGAUUGUUGACGAGUUGCAAGUCGUGAAAGACUAUUGCAAAGAUGAAUUGACUGCUGGUCAGGUUGCUCAGAUUAAUCAAGUCACUGAUGAAGAUCUCAAUACCACAUUCACGCUUCCAGGUUGUUGGCCUUGCGCCCAACCCCCUACCAGGAGGACCAGCGGGUAUCUGCAGCCACCAUGAAGCGACUGGGCGAUGGGAUCCCCAACCCCGACGCCGGUUGACUAUAGUAACCGGUAGUCCAUAGAUAAUAGACUAGUAACGUCUAUUGUACUUUAUUUGAAACUCUUGGACUAGGUACUUUUAAAAAGCAUUUCUUCAAUUUUUGCAUGAAUUUGAUCAUUUUACUAUUACAACAUGGUAUUCAUUGUAUAUGGAAUGUUCACUAAUAAUUCGAUUCUUUGAAUCAUUUGAAAUUUACUUGAAAAUGUGUAUACUCCUAAAUAUCCAGAAAAAAUUGCAACACUGAGAUGGACAGAGUUAUAUCUCUUGCUUCCAUUUGGAGUUGCGUGAAAGUUAUGCACAUUUGAUCUUUAGUAAUUAAUUGGCCGAUUGGAUUAAUAAAUUAGGCAAGUUUUCAUUCCGUCGUUAAAAAUAUGUAUGGAGAUGGAUUUUAAAUUCUACUUACCAAUCUUACCAAACUCUAUAACAUCAAGUUUCACUCCUCCAAAUUAUAAUUACUUAUUUCAUUUUUAUGACUUUGGAGUAUUUUUAUGAUAUUUUUUACAAUAUUAGGCAAAA